UACGGAGGGGGCAAGCGUUGUUCGGAAUUAUUGGGCGUAAAGGGCAUGUAGGCGGUUUGGUAAGUUAAAGGUGAAAUACCAGGGCUUAACCCUGGGGCUGCUUUUAAUACUGCAGGACUAGAGUCCGGAAGAGGAUAGCGGAAUUCCUAGUGUAGAGGUGAAAUUCGUAGAUAUUA
rnacentral:rRNA from 1 species